rnacentral:rRNA from 1 species
GUGUCAGCCGCCGUGGUAAUACGGAGGGUGCGAGCGUUAAUCGGAAUUACUGGGCGUAAAGCGCAUGCAGGCGGUCUGUUAAGCAAGAUGUGAAAGCCCGGGGCUCAACCUCGGAACAGCAUUUUGAACUGGCAGACUAGAGUCUUGUAGAGGGGGGUAGAAUUUCAGGUGUAGCGGUGAAAUGCGUAGAGAUCUGAAGGAAUACCGGUGGCGAAGGCGGUCCCCUGGACAAAGACUGACGCUCAGAUGCGAAAGCGUGGGGAGCAAACAGGAUUAGAAACCCUCGUAGUCC